ACAAAGUUCAGCUGCUAUGGAGUGACCCUCUCCUCCGGGGUCCAAGCACCUGCUGGACACUCCCCCUGGACACUGUGUUUGCAUCCUCCUGCUGCCUGACCGUGGCCUCUGGGCUCUGGUCUUAGAGUGGUUUUGAUUUCCUCACUGGACCUUGUUAAACUCUACAAAACUCAAUUUUUCACCAAAGUAUCGCA